rnacentral:rRNA from 1 species
AGAGGGGGCAAGCGUUGUUCGGAAUUACUGGGCGUAAAGGGCGCGUAGGCGGCCAACUAAGUCGGACGUGAAAUCCCAAGGCUCAACCUUGGAACUGCGUCCGAUACUGGAUGGCUUGAAUCCGGGAGAGGGAUGUGGAAUUCCAGGUGUAGCGGUGAAAUGCGUAGAUAUCUGGAGGAACACCGGUGGCGAAGGCGGCAUCCUGGACCGGUAUUGACGCUGAGGCGCGAAAGCCAGGGGAGCAAACGGGAUUAGAUACCCCGGUAGUCCUGGCCCUAAACGAUGAAUGCUUGGCGUGGUGGGUAUCGAUCCCCGCCGUGCCGAAGCUAACGCAUUAAGCAUUCCGCCUGGGGAGUACGGUCGCAAGGCUG